GAUUGGUAGCAAUACCAUGAGAGUGGCGCACGGGUGAGUAACGCGUAUGCAACCUACCUUUAACUGAGGGAUAGCCCAUAGAAAUGUGGAUUAAUACCUCAUAGUUCUGCGAGACCGCAUGGUUUUGCAGAUAAAGCUCCGGCGGUUAAAGAUGGGCAUGCGUGACAUUAGCUAGUUGGUGAGGUAACGGCUCACCAAGGCUACGAUGUCUAGGGGUUCUGAGAGGAUGAUCCCCCACACUGGUACUGAGACACGGACCAGACUCCUACGGGAGGCAGCAGUGAGGAAUAUUGGUCAAUGGGCGCAAGCCUGAACCAGCCAUCCCGCGUGCAGGAUGACGGCCCUAUGGGUUGUAAACUGCUUUUAUACACCAAGAAAAAUCCCCACGUGUGGGGACCCGACGGUAGUGUAUGAAGUGGGCGGCUUUUUAAGUCAGUGGUGAAAUCCUGCCGCUUAACGGUAGAAUUGCCAUUGAUACUGAAAAGCUUGAGUACAUUUGAGGUAAGCGGAAUGUGUAGUGUAGCGGUGAAAUGCUUAGAUAUUACACAGAACACCAAUUGCGAAGGCAGCUUACUAAACUGUUACUGACGCUGAGGCACGAAAGCGUGGGGAGCGAACAGGAUUAGAUACCCUGGUAGUCCACGCCGUAAACGAUGCUCACUCGCUGUUUGCGAUACACAGCAAGCGGCCAAGCGAAAGCAUUAAGUGAGCCACCUGGGGAGUACGAUCGCAAGGUUGAAACUCAAAGGAAUUGACGGGGGCCCGCACAAGCGGAGGAACAUGUGGUUUAAUUCGAUGAUACGCGAGGAACCUUACCUGGGCUUAAAUGGGGAACGACAGCUGCCGGAAACAGAACAUGUGGUUUAAUUCGAUGAUACGCGAGGAACCUUACCUGGGCUUAAAUGGGGAACGACAGCUGCCGAAAGGUGGCCUUCUUCGGACGUUCUUCAAGGUGCUGCAUGGUUGUCGUCAGCUCGUGCCGUGAGGUGUCGGGUUAAGUCCCAUAACGAGCGCAACCCUUAUCGUUAGUUGCCAGCGGGUCAAGCCGGGGACUCUAGCGAGACUGCCACCGUAAGGUGUGAGGAAGGUGGGGAUGACGUCAAAUCAGCACGGCCCUUAUGUCCAGGGCUACACACGUGUUACAAUGGCCAAUACAAAGGGCAGCUACCAGGUGACUGGAUGCUAAUCUCUAAAGUCGGUCUCAGUUCGGAUCGGAGUCUG
rnacentral:rRNA from 1 species